GACUCUGCCUCUCAGACCAAUCGCAGUUCACGGAGAGACUUUGUAAACAACCCGUCCACGUUGCUUUCUACAACGCUGUUUCUUUUUGUGCGUGUUCUUUUAUUGUUGUUUUUUUCGGCUAGGAACUCCGGCACGGUGCUGCCGAGCUGCUGUGACUCCAAACCAGCUAUGGGAAAAUGGAUGCUCCAUACUGCUCAAAAUUUGUCUCUGAAAAGAAAAGGAUACAAGGCAAAGCAGAUAAAAAAAAAAGCACCAGAAAAUCUGGAUCAGGGUUCUGGACAACUUUACAUGUGUACAAAUUGAUGAGCUGAGCAGCAAAGAUCUGAUGUCAACUGUAAAAACAAAUCAAAGGUGUUGGAUCUUAUUGUGCAGACAUGCAUAGAACUUUGAAGCAAGAGACAUUUUCAACAUCUUCAGUUUCCCACCGGCCUCCCUGUCUGUCAGCCAGACAAGGAGCAGCGAAGUUUCCUCCCAGCCUCCCAGACCAGAUUCAGCACUGCCGUCAGGCCGUAAGAGGCUGGGAGCUGACAGAAUGUAAAUAAAGCGGUGCUUUUCACAUUACUUCACUGCUUAUUUUUAGCAGACUGAACAAGAGCAGGCAAGGGUGUGCCUUUUUAAAGCUGCAGAGCUUAUCAGCUGAAUACACUGAAGGAUAGAAUAUAUAAAUCAAUUAAAAUCCAGGAUGUGAUAUUUGUGGUUAUGGGUUGAGAUUUUACUAUAAUUGGCAGACAGUACUGUACCAACCUUUUUAAACUUAAGCAAAGGAUGUUGUCUCACUGUCUCUGCUUUCCACUAUGCACAGAUGGUCUCAAGAGGUUAAAAGUUUUAUUUUGGUCUUAAUGUUUUAAAACACAAAGACUUUCUUCCACUUUCCACUCACAAAUAAUAUGCCUUUGCAUGUCAGAACCUAUUAUGUUCAUGCUUGGAAGUUUUCA